UAAAUUUUUAUUUUUUGUAAACAUAAGAAAAUAUGCAGUAUAAUUAAUUUAGCUGAAAAUCUUUCAGAGGAUGGUUCUUGAUAAGAAUACUGUGAUCUCACAGUAGAGCAUGCAUUAUUAAUAACAAGAUUUUACAUUUUAAGCAACUUUGUUCUUCAUUGGUCAAGGGUACCUCACUCCAGAAUGCAUCUGAAUUUCUGAUCAUCCUUGAAUUUUUGUGUUCUGCCUUCCAGACCUUCAUAUUCUUUGGCUAAAACUGGAAACAUCCACAAUCUCAAAGUCUCUCCAGACUAAAAGGGGUCCUUUGGGACAAGGCAGGGUUAGGUAACCAGUACCUUUAAAGCUGACCUAGAGUUCAGAGAUGGGAGAAGAUAUUCAGCAUAAUGUUUACAUAGUAGCAUUAAUUCGCUGUUGAAUAACUUUUUUUUUUCUUAAGGUGCUAUCCUUGUAGCAAGAUAGCUGUAGUGUCACUUUAUUUUUUUUUAUUUUUUAUUUUUUAUUUUUUUUGUCUUUUUGCUAUUUCUUGGGCCACUCCCGUGGCAUAUGGAGGUUCCCAGGCUAGGGAAAGAAAGAAAGAAAGAAAGAAAGAAAGAAAGAAAGAAAGAAAGAAAGAAAGAAAGAAAGAAAGAAAAAGAAAGAAAGAAAGAAAAGGGUCUCCAUUACCUUCACUGGACACUUAUUUUAUCUUCACUGGUGGUUUUUCUUUGCUAGGAACGUUAAUGUCACCCAGAUAGUAAGUUGCCAAGCCAGGGAUGUGAACUCAAAUCUACCUAUCUCCAGAGCCUGAGCUCUUAACCACGGUGGUACUUAGUUAACCACACACAUGCUCAGCCUUCCAAGAGAAAAGGCAAGCUCUUCAAGAAGGAAGUAUGCUGAGGCAUCUUAGAUUUAUGCCCGGAAAGCCAGAGUCAGUGGCUGCCUGGCUCAAAGUUGUACAUUUUGAUACUCAGAAACUGAUAAGCAAUUAAGAGUUUACCAAGCUCUUUAAGACUUAGAAAGGGAGAAAUGUAGCUCCCAGUUAUAGUUACAAUUUAAUAGGCAGUAUUAAAAUGCUAAAUAAACACCACAAUUUUGUUAAUUGUUAUAUCAAAUAGAUAUAAUUUAAAUUGGUUUUUCAUCCUUAGUCUUUAUUUAUUUAUUUUUUUUGAGAGGAAAUAUCCAUUAUUUGAAUAGUGUUUUAAGUCACAAGGGUAUUUUUCACAGUGCUGAAACUUUAAUGUUAUAAAAGGGCUUAUUCUCUUCCAAUGAGUAAGAAACCUACUGCCAACCAGUAACAGAUUAUAUAAUCCAGAAAAAGAAAUUCAUUUUGACAAACAACUUAAAGAGGAAAGAAGAAAGUGGAUUUUAGACAACUUGGUGCCGACAUAUCAGAAUCAGUGUCUUAGAAUUUAGAUGGGCACUGAAACCUCGGCCCCCUGCAUGCCCAUUGUACUAAAUAUUUUACAUGUCUGCAUGCCCAUGCAUGUUUCUUUAGGGCUCACUUUUAUCCUGGAAUGUGUGCAUGUUAAUAAGAGAGUCUGCCUAGAAAUGUAUAUGAUGAUAUAGAAAUAUAGUGCCAUUUAUAAAAGACAUAGCUUAUUAAACAGGCAUUUCUUCUUUUGAUCAUUUGAAUUGAAGAUACAUUUGACUUUAUCUUUUGAAAGAGAGAUAGAGGAUCCUACACUGAUUAUUGACCAGUUUCCUUUAAUUUCACUUUCUUGAAUACCACAAAAUUACUAUUGAUUCCAGUGGUCUGAGCCCCUUCAGGGUAGAGGCAGUAUCUUUGCUAUCUUUGUUUCCUUAGCACAAUGCUUGGUAUUGAAGACAUGCAAUAAAUAUUCCCCUUAUCAAAAUAAAAUUUAAUUCAUGAAUGCAUAAUAUAUAAUCUACUUGGGAAGUCUAUUGUAAGAAAAUGUUCAGUGAUUAUCCAAGUUUCAAGAUAUAAAAUCUGAUGAGUUAAAAGCUCAUUGAAAUUUACCAGAAAGAACAUUUUUCUAUACUUUUAAUUUUUAGAAAUGUGAUUUUUUUCCAUUUUAAAUAAUAAACCUUUUCUGUGGCACUUAUACUUGAACAAAAGGAUAUUUAGGUAUUUAAAAGGUUUUCAGUGUUCCAAACAGUUUACAAAAAUAUUUAGACAUACCCCAAUUUCAUAUUCUAACAAAUUUUGCAUUCCCACUUGAACCAAUGUAUGUUUCUUUUUAUAUAAGUGCUUAUAUAUUUAGGUGUGUAAACUGCUUUCCCUUUUAAUAUUCUCCAAUAGAAAUCUGAAACCUAGAUUGUCAUGCACAGAAAUGUAUAGCUAGAUAGACCUCUCUACUUGGUGUUUUUUGUUUUUAUUUUUUGCCUUUUCUUGAGCCGCUCCCGAGGUAUAUGGAGGUUCCCAGGCUAGGGGUCUAAUUGGAUAGCCACUGGCCUAUGCCAGAGCCACAGUAACUCGGGACCACAGCUCAUGGCAACGCUAGAUCCUUAACCCAUUGAGCAAGGGCAGGGAUUGAACCCUCAACCUCAUAGUUCCUAGUCGGAUUCGUUAACCACUACACCACGAUAGGAACUCCUUUACUUGGUGAUUUUGAAACUAACUCCAUCAGGUAACCAUGUAGAGAAUAAAUCUCUCCUUGGUAGGACAAAUUCACCUCUUAUCUGUUCCAUUUUAAAUGGUUAACUGCCCCCUUUGGAUUGAAAAAGACUUCCCUGACGUGAGGUCCCACUUGCCUCUUAAGUUCCCUGAAGAGUGGAGUCCUUAAGGAUUCCCUCACUGCUUAAUUCCUUCCGCAAAUAUGUGCAGAGAGCUUCUUGUGUUCUAGGCUAUGCUUUAGGGACAUAAAGGAUAAGAGGCAGUCCCUUAAACCCUCCAACGCUGUUAUUGUGUAAUGAAUAAAUGAAACAAAGUGUCUUGAGGCCUGGCCUCACCUCAUAGACUUCUAAGGGGGAUAAGAGAGGGAAGAGCUAAUUCUCCAAGUGCAGUAUGGAAAGUCCUCCAGAGGAAAUAACACCUAAGCACAUAAAUUAAAAAUGAUUGGAUGGAGUGGGCAAGGGAGAGUUCCAAACAGACAGAAAUUGAGCAGAAUCUUGGAAACGUUGACAAUUUUGCAAUAGUUAAGCAAAGAGGGAAGGACUGGGCAGGGGGCAGUUUUUCACUAUUGUGUACAAAGAUUUAUAGCAACUUGAUUACUAUGUUGCUAAUGAGCUGGGCAACCAUCAGAAUAGGGGUGGGGGGGGAAUAGUUUAGUAAUUACCAUGUGAGAACUCUGAGCUUAGCCUAUUAGAGAUU
rnacentral:lncRNA from 1 species